ACGGAUAAUUUACACUCAAAGCCCGUCUGACCUAAGUUUCUCCACGAAUAUGGCGGUCGGGCCGCAGUCACAAACUGCCAGGGUGCGGGAAGAAAUGACCGCAUCUCCCGACUUGGAAAGGUGUUCCUGUGUCUUCGUU
rnacentral:ncRNA from 2 species